rnacentral:rRNA from 1 species
GGAGGAUCCAAGCGUUAUCCGGAAUCAUUGGGUUUAAAGGGUCCGUAGGCGGUUUAGUAAGUCAGUGGUGAAAGCCCAUCGCUCAACGGUGGAACGGCCAUUGAUACUGCUAGACUUGAAUUAUUAGGAAGUAACUAGAAUAUGUAGUGUAGCGGUGAAAUGCUUAGAGAUUACAUGGAAUACCAAUUGCGAAGGCAGGUUACUACUAAUGGAUGACGCUGAUGGACGAAAGCGUGGGUAGCGAACAGGAUUAGAUACCCUGGUAGUCCACGCCGUAAACGAUGGAUACUAGCUGUUGGGAGCGAUCUCAGUGGCUAAGCGAAAGUGAUAAGUAUCCCACCUGGGGAGUACGUUCGCAAGAAUG